AUCCAACUGAUGAGUCCCGAAUAAGACGGAACGUGCGUCCUGAAU
rnacentral:hammerhead_ribozyme from 1 species